GGUUUACCUGUGUGACUGCGUACCUUUUGUAUAAUGGGUCAGCGACUUAUAUUCUGUAGCAAGGUUAACCGAAUAGGGGAGCCGGAGGGAAACCGAGUCUUAAUUGGGCGUUAAGUUGCAGGGUAUAGACCCGAAACCCGGUGAUCUAGCCAUGGGCAGGUUGAAGGUUGGGUAACACUAACUGGAGGACCGAACCGACUAAUGUUGAAAAAUUAGCGGAUGACCUGUGGCUGGGGGUGAAAGGCCAAUCAAACCGGGAGAUAGCUGGUUCUCCCCGAAAGCUAUUUAGGUAGCGCCUCGUGAAUUCAUCUCCGGGGGUAGAGCACUGUUUCGGCUAGGGGGCCAUCCCGGCUUACCAACCCGAUGCAAACUGCGAAUACCGGAGAAUGUUAUCACGGGAGACACACGGCGGGUGCUAACGUCCGUCGUGAAGAGGGAAACAACCCAGACCGCCAGCUAAGGUCCCAAAGUCAUGGUUAAGUGGGAAACGAUGUGGGAAGGCCCAGACAGCCAGGAUGUUGGCUUAGAAGCAGCCAUCAUUUAAAGAAAGCGUAAUAGCUCACUGGUCGAGUCGGCCUGCGCGGAAGAUGUAACGGGGCUAAACCAUGCACCGAAGCUGCGGCAGCGACACUGUGUGUUGUUGGGUA
rnacentral:rRNA from 2 species